AAGCUGCACUACUCAACAGCCCACUUCUCUUAUUUUAGUAAUUUAAACAUUACACUGUUUCAGAGAAAGAAAGGAGUAUCCUUCACUCAGCUGGCACACAGCUCACGUCUUGGGUUUUGGGUUCUUUUUUUGAAAAGUCAAGGAAAGUACCAUUCCUAUGCUUUAUACCAGUGUGUGAGAAGAUACAUGUAGGAGCUCUGUUAUACCAGAGAGGUGCUGCAGCAAGAGAUGGAAAGAAAGCUUUUUAUUGAGGCUUUGGCACAUGCUGUUGAGGCUUCAUCUGUUAGACGGGACCCAGCUCCCCUUGAUGCUCACGAGGACUCAGCAGUGCUUUUUAAGGUCACUAAGUGUCCCACUGCCAGGCUUCAUUUCAGAACCAAGACUCGAUGGUAAUAUCUAUAAGAGACAUAUUCCUGGACUGCAGAGUCAGGUCGGUGUAUUUCUCCCUAA